rnacentral:ncRNA from 2 species
GCAAUGUUAUAACGCAAAGGUUGCAUCGUACUUGAUGCGCAAAAGAGAAUCCGGUGAGAAACCACUGGGAAACCGGGAAGGGAGAAACAGCGAUGAUCGAAGUCAGGAGAACUGCCUUGGCGUAGAAUUUAAG